AUAAAUCUCCCCCAUUGCAUUUCUGUUUCUAACACAAACCUUUCUCGAUCUGCGGUGUUCCCCUCGAUAUGAAGAAUGGGCCCCUAACUGCAGAAUGCCAUAGCGGGCUGUGCCCUAGCGAAAAAUGAUCGGACAAUUUGGGACUGGGAAACAACGCCGUGUUCUUCUUGAGAAAAUGCAAAGCCAUCUGAAAAAAAAAGAAAAAAAAAAAGUGAGAACGAGUGAAAGAAUAUUUCCAGAACGGCACAUUGUAACAAAAAGUCUGCAGAAUACAGAGGUCACGUCAUCAUCUCUGCUCAUUGUCUCUGGAAAUUCUCAUUAAAAAUGAUGUCCCCUGGAUGGAAAUGAAGUUUGUUAUCAAAACUAGGAUGGAUAAGGAGAAAUACAGACUAUGGUAUGAGAAGAUGAGAUCACACAUGCAAGAUUCAGAGGAAUUUCUUACAAAUUAUAAUUGGAAUGCUUAUCUGGGAAAGUAUGUUUUUAGAGAUUGAGGAACGUACAGAGAGGUUCUCGAUGAAUACUAGGGCUGAGAGCCGCAGAGAUAAGGCCUGGCCUGGGAAAAAAGGUUGCAGACAGGAUGGGCCAGUGGUGACACAGUGUCUAGAGAAUGGUUUGCAUUGAGCAAGAACAAGCAAGGGUGGAGCUGGAGAUUACAGGGUAAAGGAGGAGGUCAACAAAACGUAAAGUACAAGUUAUCUAAAAUAUUGUCUUCAUCAAUGAGCGCUAAAAUCACCAAUUGGCAGCACAGAAUACCAUGUAAAAGAGAGACGUUCUAAAAUGCCUUAGCAAUUUUGUGUUAUUUCAUGCCAUUAUGUCAUCGGAAAGGGAUUGGGGUAUAUUUGAAAUUAGACAGAGACAUUGGAUAUGGAAAUGUAGACAGGUUCCACCACAAUCGCACGUCUAUGGGGAAAGCUCUACUGUCCCUGACAUCUUCCAGUGGAAGAGACAGAUAGGUUAGAUAUUUAUUGGUCCAACCCUUUCCUCCAUUAGCAGAACCAAAGGUGUCUGGCUUCCACGUAUCUCCCUCCCAAGUCUGUUUAAAGAUUUUGGGACCUUCUGCCAAAAUAAAUGUUUUGUCCACCAGUAAUUUUCUAUGUAAUGUCAUCAUGGACCCCGACAUGUCUUACCAAUCUUAGUCGUAUGCACAUAUGUGUGCUCAGAGUGCCUCUUGUGGGUCUGCUACGGACACUUUCUAGUAGGUAAUAAGUUGAACCCACCAAAGGCUUCAGUUGAAAAGUCAAUACCACCUUAAAAGGGGUA